CAAAAGAAAAUUGAGCUAAGAAACACCCAUUCAGAGGGGUAACAGCACAGGGUUAGAGCAUUUGAUUGGACAUCACAGGUGCUGGGAUAUAGACUGCCUGGAAGAAAGGAGGUUCCCAGGGUCUUACCAUCAGGUUGUGGAGAAGAACCAAUAACGUUUGGAAUAUCUGAUGAGACAAUGUCAUAAGUUUAACUAUAACUUUGAAAAAAUGGCCGAAAGAUCCAUUCAAUUAGAUGGUACCCAUCCUAGUACUGUGGCUUUGAUGCUGGAACUAGCUAGGUCAUGGGCCCUAGAAGAAAACCUACUACUAAUGUUCUGCUAAUCAGUGCUUUGGUCAGCUCACAUUGGAGGAAGCUUCUUCUUGCAGCAGAUGGAAGUUAACACGGAGACCCACAAAUGGGCAGUGUACAGAGGGUGAGAGACUGUG
rnacentral:lncRNA from 1 species